rnacentral:rRNA from 1 species
UACGGAGGAUCCAAGCGUUAUCCGGAAUCAUUGGGUUUAAAGGGUCCGUAGGCGGCCCGAUAAGUCAGCGGUGAAAUCUCCCGGCUCAACCGGGAAAUGGCCAUUGAUACUGUCGGGCUUGAAUUACCAGGAAGUAACUAGAAUAUGUAGUGUAGCGGUGAAAUGCUUAGAGAUUACAUGAAUACCAAUUGCGAAGGCAGGUUACUACUGGUGGAUUGACGCUGAUGGACGAAAGCGUGGGUAGCGAACAGG